rnacentral:lncRNA from 1 species
UUUUACUGAAAUCGAAGUCAACUUGUGAUUGCAAAACCCUGCUCAAUUGCUCGCGGAUCAUGCUCCCUUCCCCAGGUCUCCUCUCUCUCUCUCUCUCUCUCUCUCUGUCGUAUGCAACAUACAUGUUUAUAUGUAUACAUGUCAUGAUCUUGUGUUCACAGGCUUGACUUUAGCUCAGAUUCUGUUUCAUCCUUCCGUCGUAGCUUCGGUAUUUCCAGUUUUUGUGUACAACACGCGCAAAUCUUGAAUUUGCGCGAUUAUUUUUGUGUUGUUUUGAUAAAAUUGAUCGUUAUGUAAGCGUUGGCGAUUAUUGCUUCUUGAUUUGUAGCUUUAGAGCAAUUGUGAGUUCAUUAUUGAGUGCCAGUUCUUGAUUUCUAGGUUUAACAGUAAUUAUGGCUUUGAUUUUUUGAACUUUUUCUGUGUUUGGCGUGAGAGAAAAUCUAUGAACAGCUCCAGAGCAUUAAUAUGUAGCCGAAUAGAAUAAGAUUUUGAUAUUCUUUUGGUUUAGUUGCAUUAGGAGCAAUUGUUGCUUCAUUUGUUUAGCGUAAGCACUUCUAGGUUUAGAAGAAAUUAUGGAUCGGAUUUUUUGAAAAUCUUCUUUUGUUAGGCAUAAAUGAGAAGUUCUCCUAACAAUUCCAGAGCAUUGAUACGUAAACGAAUAGAAAUGGAUUUUGAUGUUCUCUUGGUUGUGUUGCAUUUAUUUACUUUAAUUGACUGUAUUUUUUCUAAAGCUAUGGCAUUGUGAUAUGGUUCAAGUUGAUCCCAAAGGUUCAUACGUUUAAUCCUUAGUAGGAACCUAGUUCUAGGUCUUGAGAAACUAACACCGGGAGUAUAAGCACUCUCGAUUAAAUUCCUGUCAAAGAUAUAAAGAGGCAUUGCUAUUUCAAAUUAGUAGACUUUUGGAGUUAAUGAUCUGAGAUUAAUUAAAAAAUUAGUUCUAACCUUCCUGAUAACGCAGCAUUAGGAAUAUUUGGUCUACCUUUAUACUGUUGGAGCAAUUAUGGAUAUUGUUGUUUAGUUAAUGAGCAUACAGCUCUUGACAGAGGCGAAUGCCAAAAAAGGACACAUGUUGCCUACCGCAGUUGAAUGGCACUCAUAAUUUCUUUUGGUUUAGUUUGGUUCAAUUUGAUUGUUAAAUUUUUCAGGCAUAUUUCUGUCCUGAAAAUGUUUUACACCUCUAGAGAUGAUAUCAUGCACCAUUGUUAAAUAGGCGACUUAGCAACUAAGUCAAUCGAAGAAAAGCCUGCAAGCUUUUUAAACACUGGUUUUAUGAGUAUGCUAAUGUUUUAUAUCUGUGUGUGUUUGUGUGAGAGAGUUGUUGGGACAUGGAUUGAUGCAAGUGAAUGCCUAUAUAUGUGCAUUUGUUCUGAGUGUGCUUCUUUCCAUAUGGGAUUCAGAGUUAUCAAUUUGUCUUGAUAAAUAUAAACCCACCGACCUGACCCAACAAGUGUGUGGAUAUGGAUUCUGAUUGUUCGCUUUAAUUCAGUGUCACGUUUCUGCUUUUCUAUUUACUCAUAGUGUUUACUUGUUAAUUUUGCAAAUUAUUACUUGCGUGUGCAUUAUCUCGUCCCCUUGCCUUCUGCUUGAGUUUACAAUGUUUUUUUUAAGACGUCCCACUGACUGCUCUGCUUUGGAAUGUUUUGAUAACAUCUAUGUUGGUAAUAUUAUGAGUUUGGAAUGUGUAUUAUCUUCGGCUUGAAGUUAUACACUUGUUUUACUUGUUAUGCAGGAAAUGCACUCUUUGAUGCAUCACAGUAUGCAAUCUUUGGACAAGAAAACUUGGAUGAAGUUGAGUUGGGGGGUUUAGAAGGUGAAGAAGAUGACACUCCUGUUGUUGGAAAUGGUGAUGAUGAAUACCAUCUCUUUGAUAAGGAAGAGGUAAGGUUUGCUUAUUGUUUGAAUAUCUUGCAAUGAAAUUCUAAAUUGUUCUUUAACUAACUGUUCUUGUUUAGAUUCCCAUGGGGCUGAUGUUUUUCAUUUUUGGUUGUACGAGAAAUCAUUUCCCAAGAAGUAAUUAUUCGUCAUACGUGGAUGAUCUUUUUUUUUUCAAAAAAAAAACAAUUCUAGUCCACCCUUUUGAUGUGCCAUUUUUUUUUUAAUUCUCCUCCUCGCCCUCCUCAUCUUCUUUUGUGAGCAUGCUGGUUUUACAGGUCCUUUCUUUUUGUGCUGGCUCCAUUUUAUUUGUAUGUUCUGUAUUUCUCGUAUAUAUUGUAAGUAGAAUAUAUUCAUCACUAGGAUUUCAUGUAUGUGAGUAUUUCAACCCUUUUGUUGGAUCUGACUGUAUUGCAAUAUUCUUUUUGAUAUGAGAAUUUUAAGGGGGAGUUGAAUCCCAAGGCUGACGGAAAAGUGUUACCCUAAGAAGCACGGACACGGACAUGGACACAGAUACAGAUACGGACACGGAUAUGGGACACGGUAAUUUUAAAAAAUGGAGGAUAGAGAUACGGCGGGGACACGACAAAAAAUUAUUAUUAUUUUAUAUAUUUUUAUUUUUCUUGUA